rfam:Botryotinia fuckeliana BcDW1 unplaced genomic scaffold Scaffold_396, whole genome shotgun sequence.
GGCACUUUGGCGGAGUGGUUAACGCGAUGCCCUGCUAUUGUAUCUAUACAAAGUCAGGCAUUUCCCUCGGGAGCGAGUGUUCGAAUCACUCAGGUGUCG